UCUCCGUAGGUGAACCUGCGGAGGGAUCAUUACAGAGUUCAUGCCCUUCCGGGUAGAUCUCCCACCCUGUGUUAUCGUCACCUUUGUUGCUUUGGCGGGCCGCCCAGGCCUUGGCCUGGCUACCGGCUCCGGCUGGUACGCGCCCGCCAGAGGACCCUAAACUCUUGAAUAUCAGUGUCGUCUGAGUACUAUGUAAUAGUUAAAACUUUCAACAACGGAUCUCUUGGUUCUG
rnacentral:misc_RNA from 1 species